rnacentral:lncRNA from 1 species
AUUCUCUCUCACUGUAUCGGAUUUAUCAGCUUAAAUUGUAAUUAUAACGUAUUAUAGUGUGUUGUUUUGCAUUCUGAUAUCUUAUUUAGUAUAUUAGUUUGUUUUUCCUCAGAUUGUUGCCGCUGUUCUUUGCUCUCAGGGCCAUCUCCUUACCCUUUUUUCCCUUUUCCCUUUCCCGUGGCGUGGGCCUGUGGGUCCCCCGUCCCAUUUGUCAGGGAACUGGGCCAAAUGCCUGUAAACCAUUGACAGCAUCCCAACCCCCCACAUCUGCUGGAGAGGAACGUUCUUUGCCUCUCACUUGCCCAACUUACUCCCUGUCAGUGCUCCAGCAUCCGCCAUACGUCUGUCUGUCUGGGUGGGAUCUAUUCCAGGGUCUGUUUGGGAUGGGUUUGGGAUUGGGUUUUCCCAUUCUCCUCCCUCUUGUGCUCAGGUUCCAGCUGUGAGGCGGAGGCCGAUGUGCGUACCUGAACGGGGACAGGAUCAGCUCAGCCCUGUGCCACACAGAGAAGUACUGGGUGUGCAGCAGAGCCGACAGCUACAUCCUCUGGAGGAAGGAGACAGAUCCACAGUGACAGAUCCCAUCUGCAGAGAGCUCAUUCCUAUGCUGCUGGGCACUGGCACGCCAUCGAUCACAUCCAGCCCGGCCUUGAACACCUCCAGGGACGGGGCAUCCACAGCCUCUCUGGGCAGCCUGCGCCAGCACCUCACCGCUCUCUCGACCGCUGUCGCUGUUUGGUUUUUAGUCCCAACUCCCUUGGCCAUCCUAGCGAGGACCUCACGUGGAUCGACUGCAACGAAGGAUCCUGGCAGAGAGCCCCGCACCACCACGCUGCCAUGGGUGAAGGAGAUCGACAGAGCCCUUCCGUGCACCGAGAGGUGACGAUCCAGCCGGGGGAUGAAGAAGUCCGAACGCGGCAGGGUAACGCCGGGAGGCAGCGGGAAAGGGCUGAGGGAGGGGGAAAACGAGCCCGAGGCCACGGGAGGGUCCCCGGGCAGCCAGUGCCGAGGGCCGUGGGCGCAGGAAGG